ensembl:rRNA 5S_rRNA 5S ribosomal RNA
GCUUACGGCCAUACCUCUCUGGCUCCGCCUGAUCUCGUCUGAUCUCAGAAGCUAAGCAGAGUAAGGGCCUGGUUAGUACUUGGAUGGAAGACCGCCUGGGAAUCCCAGGUGCCGUAAAGCU